rnacentral:rRNA from 1 species
GAUGAACGCUAGCGACAGGCCUAACACAUGCAAGUCGAGGGGCAGCACAUAAGGUAGCAAUACUUUUGGUGGCGACCGGCGCACGGGUGAGUAACACGUAUGCAAUCUACCUGUAAGCGGGGGAUAACCCGGAGAAAUUCGGACUAAUACCGCAUAAUACCACGAAUUCGCAUGAAUUUGUGUGUUAAACAUUUAUGGCUUACAGAUGAGCAUGCGUAUGAUUAGAUAGUUGGUAGGGUAACGGCCUACCAAGUCUGCGAUCAUUAGGGGUUCUGAGAGGAAGGUCCCCCACACUGGUACUGAGACACGGACCAGACUCCUACGGGAGGCAGCAGUAGGGAAUAUUGGGCAAUGGGGGAAACCCUGACCCAGCAACGCCGCGUGAAGGACGAAGGCCUUCGGGUUGUAAACUUCUUUGAUUCAGGGACGAAACAAUGACGGUACCUGAGGAACAAGCCACGGGCUAACUACGUGC